GACAGAGGGUGCAAACGUUGUUCGGAAUUACUGGGCGUAAAGCGCGUGCAGGCGGCUCGGAAAGUCGGAUGUGAAAGCCCUGGGCUUAACCUAGGAAGUGCAUUCGAAACUCCCGAGCUUGAGUUCUGGAGAGGAAGGCGGAAUUCUCGGUGUAGAGGUGAAAUUCGUAGAUAUCGAGAGGAACACCGGUGGCGAAGGCGGCCUUCUGGACAGUGACUGACGCUGAGGUACGAAAGCGUGGGGAGCAAACAGG
rnacentral:rRNA from 1 species